GAAGUAGUACAAAUGAUGUGUGUUUCC
rnacentral:sRNA from 1 species